rnacentral:lncRNA from 1 species
CUGUCAUUCAUAUUCACCCAGUUCAAUGUAACAGUGAUGGGUUUAGGAUACUGUCCUUCAUAUUCACCCAGUUCAAUGUAACAGUGAUGGGUUUAGGAUACUGUCCUUCAUAUUCACCCAGUUCAAUGUAACAGUGAUGGGUUUAGGUUACUGUCCUUCAUAUUCACCCAGUUCAAUGUAACAGUGAUGGGUUUAGGAUACUGUCCUUCAUAUUCACCCAGUUCAAUGUAACAGUGAUGGGUUUAGGUUACUGUCCUUCAUAUUCACCCAGUUCAAUGUAACAGUGAUGGGUUUAGGAUACUGUCCUUCAUAUUCACCCAGUUCAAUGUAAC